rnacentral:ncRNA from 10 species
GCGACCCCAGGUCAGGCGGGGCUA